AAAUUCUUCUGUUAAAAAUAAAAAGUCAAACCUUUUUUUGUUUUGUUUUUCUUUUUUCUUCUGAGGAGAGACUGAAAUCUUCAAGUGGAAAUAAAUCAGAAGCCCAAAUAAAUCUUCUGCUCCAGAAACUCAUUUACUGGCUAUGCAACACCAGCUGUUUGAAUGCAGUUUGCGUGUUGGAAACCAACACAGCAAGUGCAGGGCUUUGGACUGCAAAGAACACCAGGUGCCCAAAUCACUGCUUUCUGCAGAGACAGGCAAGAGUCCAGACUCAGCAUGAAGGUGCUUUGCUCAUUCCUGCGUGACCCAAACAUGCUCCUAAACCAGACUGAGGCUCCCAGGAGCCUUUGCCUUUAGGUUUGUGUCAGAUGAAUCCUAUUUGGGCAGAAAUUUGCUCUCAGGACCACCACCACCCCUUCCAGGUUUCAUGGGGGGGAGGACCUCAGUGCAAUCGUAGUGGCUCAGACAUACCCUGUCCCUGUGCUCUGGUGGUAUUGCAUCCAGUCAGCAUUGGGAAUUUCUAACCCAAUCUACAAAGGUACCCAACAUCAGUUGUUUUUAAUAACGCAUUUGGUUUUGGCCAAGAAAUUGCAGAUUUGUGCAUGUAAUGUAGAGGUUGUACGUGUAACACAGAGGUUCUUGUGGCUCACCUGUGUAUCAAAAUCCACUCUGAUGCAUUAGGAUUUAAUUACGAAACACUGCUGGCCCCGACUCCAUUACAAUGUAAUUAAAAAAGCUUUGGGAUAUCGGACAAGGAGCUGAUGGGGCUCAUUUUUGCCAGAAUGGAUAAAAUUCCUCCCUACAAGGCAGUUCUUCUCACCCAACUGAGCUGCUUUCUACUUACAAGCAGCUCUGAAUGCCUUCAAAACACAAGGGCCUGACCCCAGGCUGGCUGAAAUCAAGGGAAAGACUCAGAGCUCGGAUGCUGGAGCCAAAAAUCUCUUUUCAUUGGGAUUACAGAAUGAACUAUCGCACUGCUUAAGUUUCCCCUUUGACUGUGUAUGUUUUCUGGCUAAUACAGU
rnacentral:lncRNA from 1 species